AGUGCCCCAACCUGGACGUUCCAGAAGAGGCCAGGGAGGAUCUGAGAUGGCCUUCUUCAACUUGUAUCUAUUGGGAUAUCAAAAUUCCUUUCAGAACAAGAAAAGGAACACAACUGAAGAAACAAAAACUUUUUGUUUAUCCCUAGAGUUAAGAAUUCCUGGCCUCCAUGGUAGCUCACGCCUGUAAUCCCAGGACUUUGGAAGCCCGAGACCAGAAGGAACCAGAGCCUACUAGGCUUCCCCCCAUUAUCUCAAAAGAUGGGAAUUAUUCCGUGCACCAGAAUAGCCACACAAGAUACCACGAAGCUGUCCGGAAGGUGUUGUUGAAGACGUUUCCCAAUCAGGUCUUCAGAAUCCCCUUGACUGAUGCUCAGAACUUCAGCUUCUGGUGGUCCCAUGAUCCAGGAGUGCGUCCAGAGGAAACCAUGCCAUGGAUCCGGAGCCCACGCCAUUGUCUCAUAAAAAGCGCGAUGACCAGGUUUAUGGAUCACUCUAUUCUCAAUGACAGGACCUUCAGUCUGUAUUAAGAAGAUAUGGCUGCAGAAAGACAAGAUGAAUUGUGGCAAGAGUGCAGAGGGGGAAAGAAGGAGGUUUCCCAGUUCCGAUGGCUGACUAAUGGGAGGAGGAGAUGGAGAAAGCACAGUAAACAGACUGGAC
rnacentral:lncRNA from 10 species